rfam:Myotis davidii contig194412, whole genome shotgun sequence.
GGUGGUUCUGGGGUGACACACCCAAGAAUCGGGCUCUCUCCUCUCUGGUUCCGGGUGUGUCACCUAAGAAAUGCA